GAUGAACGCUGGCGGCGUGCCUAACACAUGCAAGUCGAGCGGAGUCAUAAGUUGAUUCUUCGGAUGAUUUUUAUGACUUAGCGGCGGAUGGGUGAGUAACACGUGGGUAAUCUGCCCUGCACAGGGGGAUAACAGCUGGAAACGGCUGUUAAUACCGCAUAUGCACACGUUAUCGCAUGAUAGAGUGUGGAAAGAUUUUAUCGGUGCAGGAUGAGCCCGCGUCGGAUUAACUAGUUGGCAGGGUAACGGCCUACCAAGGUGAUGAUCCGUAGCCGGCCUGAGAGGGCGACCGGCCACAUUGGGACUGAGACACGGCCCAA
rnacentral:rRNA from 1 species